rnacentral:rRNA from 1 species
CAGCCGCCGCGGUAAUACCGAGGGUGCAAGCGUUAAUCGGAAUUACUGGGCGUAAAGCGCGCGUAGGUGGUUUGUUAAGUUGGAUGUGAAAGCCCCGGGCUCAACCUGGGAACUGCAUCCAAAACUGGCAAGCUAGAGUACGGUAGAGGGUGGUGGAAUUUCCUGUGUAGCGGUGAAAUGCGUAGAUAUAGGAAGGAACACCAGUGGCGAAGGCGACCACCUGGACUGAUACUGACACUGAGGUGCGAAAGCGUGGGGAGCAAACAGGAUUAGAUACCCCUGUAGUCCCUGUCUCUUAUAC